AUUAAAGAUGCAAAGGAACUGUUUUUUAGACUUUCCAUAGAAAGGUUGCAGCCUGAUGUUUGCACAUACACUAUAAUGGUUAAUGGACUUAGUAAAGAAGGAUUACUACAUGAAGCAUUGAUGGUGUUCAGGAAAAUGGAAGGGAAUGGUUGCUUACCAGACAGUUGCUCUUAUAAUGUGAUUAUCCAAGGAUAUCUCCGACACAAAGAUGUGUCCAUGGCAAAACAAUUUAUUGACGAAAUGGUUGGCAAAGGGUUUUCUGCAGAUGCCACUACUCUGGAGUUGGUAGUAAAUGAUGACCUGCUUGUGAAAAAGCUACUAAGCUGCUCUAAAAGUUCUCAAAGCGAAAGUUGAAGUGAGAUUUUAAGGUAGAAGAAUUGUUAUGCGGUCACAGGAGGUUGCCAUAUUUGUAUCAGACUUUUCUAUCAAUCAAAAAAAAAAAAAAAACGUAUUUAAGGGCUAAAUUUGCUCAAAGAAUUUUGUAGUUUUAGUUCCCUUAUUUUAUUUGUCUCCAUACUUUAGCAAACAGGUCGCAGACAAGGGCUGAAGCACCUUUUGUGUCCUACUGAAAAUUUUAAAAUCUGCUCUACUUUUAGAACCACCAAUAAUUUUAUGUAAUCAUUUAACUUUUAAUUUUAUUGUAUAAAAAAAUAUUAAAUAUUAGAUUAUUAACAA